rnacentral:rRNA from 1 species
UACCAGCACCCCGAGUGGUCGGGACGUUUAUUGGGCCUAAAGCAUCCGUAGCCGGUUCUACAAGUCUUCCGUUAAAUCCAACUGCUUAACAGGUGGGCUGCGGAAGAUACUAUAGAGCUAGGAGGCGGGAGAGGCAAGCGGUACUCGAUGGGUAGGGGUAAAAUCCGUUGAUCCAUUGAAGACCACCAGUGGCGAAGGCGGCUCACUGGUCCAUUACUGACGCUGAGGUGCGAAAGCGUGGGGAGCAAACAGG